rnacentral:rRNA from 1 species
UACGUAGGGCGCAAGCGUUAUCCGGAAUUACUGGGCGUAAAGGGCGCGCAGGCGGCUGCUCAAGUCAGGCGUGAAAGGCCUGGGCUCAACCCGGGAAUUGCGCUUGAGACUGGGCUGGCUUGAGUGCGGGAGAGGAUGGUGGAAUUCCCAGUGUAGAGGUGAAAUUCGUAGAUAUUGGGAAGAACACCGGUGGCGAAGGCGGCCAUCUGGACCGCAACUGACGCUGAGGCGCGAAAGCGUGGGGAGCAAACAGG